GCCGGGGUGGCCAAGCUGGGAAGGCGCCCGGCUGAAGACCGGGUAUACGCGUGGGUUCAAGUCCCACCCCCGGCA
rnacentral:tRNA from 1 species